GACGAACGCUGGCGGCGCGCCUAAUACAUGCAAGUCGAGCGAGCUUGCCUAGAUGAAUUUGGUGCUUGCACCAAAUGAAACUAGAUACAAGCGAGCGGCGGACGGGUGAGUAACACGUGGGUAACCUGCCCAAGAGACUGGGAUAACACCUGGAAACAGAUGCUAAUACCGGAUAACAACACUAGACGCAUGUCUGGAGUUUAAAAGAUGGUUCUGCUAUCACUCUUGGAUGGACCUGCGGUGCAUUAGCUAGUUGGUAAGGUAACGGCUUACCAAGGCAAUGAUGCAUAGCCGAGUUGAGAGACUGAUCGGCCACAUUGGGAGUGAGACACGGCCCAAACUCCUACGGGAGGCAGCAGUAGGGAAUCUUCCACAAUGGACGCAAGUCUGAUGGAGCAACGCCGCGUGAGUGAAGAAGGGUUUCGGCUCGUAAAGCUCUGUUGGUAGUGAAGAAAGAUAGAGGUAGUAACUGGCCUUUAUUUGACGGUAAUUACUUAGAAAGUCACGGCUAACUACGUGCCAGCAGCCGCGGUAAUACGUAGGUGGCAAGCGUUGUCCGGAUUUAUUGGGCGUAAAGCGAGUGCAGGCGGUUCAAUAAGUCUGAUGUGAAAGCAUUCGGCUCAACCGGAGAAUUGCAUCAGAAACUGUUGAACUUGAGUGCAGAAGAGGAGAGUGGAACUCCAUGUGUAGCGGUGGAAUGCGUAGAUAUAUGGAAGAACACCAGUGGCGAAGGCGGCUCUCUGGUUUGCAACUGACGCUGAGGCUCGAACGCAUGGGUAGCGAUCAGG
rnacentral:rRNA from 1 species